rnacentral:lncRNA from 1 species
GAGUGGGGGAUGGAGGAAGUCAGGAGGCAUCCUGGGCACGAGCCAGGGUAGACGUGGGUGUUUGAUGUGGGCAAGUGAGGCGGGCUGGGUCAGCCAGUGCUCUUGUUUUCUAGGGUUUUCUCUGCUUGCUCUAGCUACCCCCUCAACCUCUAGUUUCUUUCUUCCCUUUUCUUUUCUUUUCUUUUCUUUUCUUUUCUUUUCUUUUCUUUUCUUUCUUUUUUGUUUUUUUUUUUUGUUACCCAAAGUUUUUCUUUUUUAAGCAGUAUUUUAUUAGAAAAGGUUUAAAAUUAUUUUUGCCCAUUUUUACCCUCUCCCUGGUUUACUUUAGCUGGAAUUUUUAUUCAUGUAUUUUUGAGUAGGCAAUGCAUGCACGCUCGUGUUCUUACCUAAAAGGAGUGUAAGAAAGCUGGGUGGGGGAGACACAAGCCUUUUACCCCAUCACGUGGGAGGCAGAGGCAGGUGGAUCUCUCUGAGAUUAAGGCCAGCCAGGUUCACAGUGUGUUCCAAGGAGCAGCAUAGUGGGACCCUGCCUCAAAAAAACAAAAACAAAACAAAACCAAAAACCAAAAACCAAAAACAAAACCAAAAUGUAAUCAGGUCUGGAUUAAGUCCGAACGCUCCCCACAUCUGGGUUCUGUGUAUGCCCUCCACCAGUGUUAACUCUUUCGUCAACUGCCCACAGCUGAGCUGAGCCCAUCUUGAGCCUUUGGCUUCAGCCCCCCUAGCAUGGAAGCCUUGCCAGGGCCAUAGGCAUCCCCUCCAGACCAGGCUACCCAUCUUCAGAGAAGGCAGAGGCUGCAGGCUCAGGGAUAUCUCAGCUCUGGAUUCUGCCCAGCCGUUCCCAAACCUGCAGUUCUAAGUGUUGCGGCUUCUAACUCCAGUCAGAGCCUUCCACGCUGUUCUUCAUCUGGCUCUCUGUGGUUUCUCAGAGUUGUUUUGAUCCCGAGACCAUGAGUCUGCACGUCCCCCUCCCAUCACGUAAGGGAGAGUCUUUUUUCUGGCAGAGAGGAGUGUGUAAGUUAGGAAACACAGGUGCUUUGAAUUGCACAGUUCUUGGAAUUAACAGUCUUGGAGCUCAGAUGAGAUUUUUAAGGAUUAUCUAUGUUCCUUUUUUUUUUUUUUUUUUAAAAAAAAAAUAGGUAUACAGAGAAUUCAUCCCUAGAAAGUAACGUAUAAUGUCACAUCUCCACCCCUGCAACACACAAUGUCCUCACACUCAAAGGAACCCCGGUGGAAUAGUAUGUGGUAGAUUGUGACAUUCUGUGAGGCUCCUCCCCCAACCAAUAUCCUGGAAGAGGAGGGAAACGCUCGAUUCAGCUAUGAGAGGAAUGCUUGCGCCUUGGGCAUCCACAGUAGCUGGAUUGUGGGACUGUGUGCCCUGCCUAGGCCCGGGGCUGACUUCUUAGCUGGCCUUCAAAGGACAGAUCGCCAUUGAACUCUGGGCAAUACCCAAAAGUAGCUCGAGGAAGCCGAGAGCUGUGUUUCUGCAGUGCGCACCAUCGAUCCAUAGCAUUUGAAGCUAUUUUUCUCUGCAAGCGUCCACAAAAUUCAUUACUUUACAAUGAGCCUGGCAGGGACUGCGGCAGCAGGGAAACUCUACACGGGUCCCAGGCGCUCUCUCUCUCUCUCUCCUGGAAUUUCGCCUUGGCAGGUAAAUCAAAUACCCAGUAAACACACUUGUGAACUUCUCCAAAGCCGCUUCUGUCCGUGGCCUUGGCUGUCCCUCGCGGGUGGCCUUUCAUUUUCCUGGGCUUGGCCUGCUUCCCCCAUGCACUGGGGUUGAGCCCUGUGGCUGUACAGGUAUGGCCAGCUAAUCCUGCCAGACAAGGUCAGAAACAAUUAAUGGGCAUAAUCUCUCUUUUUUUUUUUUUUUUUUUUUUUACCUGCUAGAGCCAGACUUUCUUUGGUGUCUCUCCUAAGUCUGGAGAAAGGACUGAGAGGAGAAUUGAACUUACCCUUCGGAUGCACAUACCCAUUCACUGCUCUGUGCUGCCCCCCACCCCGCCCCCGGGCUGCUCGUUAUGAACGCUGAAGCCUUAGGUGGCGGUUAUGUUGGAGAUGCUGCUUAAAUGCUAUCUCUCGCGCACUGCCCGAUAGCAGUCUGCCUUGUUGCCGCCUCGGGGUGCUGGCCCCCUCCUCAGAUCCCUAUCUUACCUUGCUGUACACAAAAGAGCUCCUCUCUGGGGGUUCUGAGUUUUGGUUCUC